rnacentral:rRNA from 1 species
CCAGACUCCUACGGGAGGCAGCAGUAGGGAAUAUUGCUCAAUGGGGGAAACCCUGACGCAGCGACGCCGCGUGAGCGAUGAAGUAUUUCGGUAUGUAAAGCUCUAUCAGCAGGGAAGAAGAUGACGGUACCUGACUAAGAAGCCCCGGCUAACUACGUGCCAGCAGCCGCGGUAAUACGUAGGGGGCAAGCGUUAUCCGGAUUUACUGGGUGUAAAGGGGGCGCAGACGGCGAUGCAAGCCAGGAGUGAAAGCCCGGGGCCCAACCCCGGGACUGCUCUUGGAACUGCGUGGCUGGAGUGCAGGAGGGGCAGGCGGAAUUCCAGGUGUAGGAGUGAAAUCCGUAGAUAUCUGGAGGAACAUCAGUGGCGAAGGCGACUAUCUGGCACAUAACUGACGCUGAGGAGCGAAAGCGUGGGUAGCAAACAGGAUUAGAUACCCUUGUA